CCCAAAAAAUCAGAAACGCACCAAACCCAAAUCUGAAUCACACAUCCCUUCCCGUUCGUCUUCUUCGUCAUUCUUUUUUCUCACUCUCUCAUAUCCCGAUCCAUUGCCUCUGAAAUUCAAUCCAGGCCCAAAAACCCUAAUACCCAAAACACAAAUCCUAACCCCUCAGCUCCAAUACCCCACAUCUCUUAUGCUCUCCCCUCGAUUUUGUACUUUUAUGUUCUGUGAAUGUGUGAAUUGACGACUAUCUCAAUUUUUAUGAGGUUUGAGUUGAUUUUUCGAUCCAUGAUAGAUUUCCAAUUGCCCGGGCAGAAAUUUUGGUUUCCAAAUCGGCAAGCUGAGCAUGAAUCUUAUUUUCAGUUCAUCCUCGCGACUCUGCUUUGCCUCGUUUUGAAAGUGAUUCUGUUGAGGAAUUCAAUGGGUUGCAAGUUCAGCAAAUAAUUGCUAGUUGUAGAGGUUUUGGUUUCCGGUACAUUUGAUUAAACUGGGUUAGGGUUUGUGGAAUUUGGCUGGUAAUGUUGCUCAGUGCUCACUCUCAGAUUCUUUCAUUAAGGGUGGAUGCAUGGGCAUAUCGAUGGAUUCCAGAGCAAAGAAAAUGCAAGACCAGAUGUUUCAAUCAUUAAAUAUAAUGGUUUUAAAAUAGUUUGCAGGAUGAUAAUGAGUAUUCCCUUUCAAAAAUUUGGAGUAGAGACAUACAGUGUUGAGAAGGGAUUCACUCUCGGAUUACACUUUUUCUCUGAAUCCCUGUGUAUAAAUCUGACAUCUCCAGCUGCUUUCCAAUUCGAGAAGCCUCCAUCAAAGUCACCAUCUACUGUUACGCAAUAUCAGGAAGGAUGAGACCUGGGUGAGCCAGACAGAAUUGUGAGGAUUAUGAUAUGCAGUGGCCUUCAUCUCUGUUCAACUGAAGCCCCUUAGUUCGAUUCAAAGUUUUCAUGCAGAUCGAGAAGAAAGACAUCCAAGAUUUCAGAACCAACCCAUCUUUUUGAACGAAAUUUACGAAAGAGGAGGAGAAGGCCAAGGUCGAAGACUUGCACCCCGAGCUUCUAGCUGGGAUGUUCUUUUUCUUUUUGCUGGAACAACUGGUGGAGCAACAGCUCUUCUGACUUCUCACAAACCCAAUCUGGGAAGCAGUUUCACGUCAAUGAUUUCUAUCGAUCUCUAUUGCUCUACUGUGGUAGAUGAAGUAACUACAGGAAACUGUCAAGGGACAAUUAUGGAGAUUAUGUGAUCCCCAAGGGAAGCCACCAGGUGUAAUAUAAUAGUACAACUAGCUAGUUCCUAUAUUUAACUUGUGUCUAGUAGAAAUUUUUCCUUCAUUAAGAAUUUGGACUUGUUUGCAGAUUCAAAUUAGUAGAUAUGAGCCAUUUUGAAUUGAUGCUCAUGAUUAGGUUUGUGUACAUGAGACAAUGAUGGAUUAGUGGAAAUUGCAAUGAAUGCUUUUGGAUGUGGAUUUUAUGGUUU